UGGUGGAGUGAUCUGUCUGGUUAAUUCCGAUAACGAACGAGACCUUAUCCUGCAAAAUAGGCCUGCAAACUUUUGUUUGUGGUUGUCUUCUUUGAGGGACUAUUGACGUGUAGUCAAUGGAAGUUUGAGGCAAUAACA
rnacentral:rRNA from 1 species